rnacentral:snoRNA from 1 species
UCGACUAUACUUUCAGGGAUCGUUUCUAUGGUUCGUUCCUAAGGAAGUUUCUCUGGUCGUGUAGUGUACCAGAGACCACAUGGAGGAGAUACAACGUCCUCACCUGAGUGUGAAGCCAGCUGGCGGUGCUGCCGCUUUGCAGCUAUUUGCAAUGGGUGAUCAUUCUUCUCCUUUGGAGGAGCAAGAGGGUGAGGAUGUCAUCUGAGUGGU